rnacentral:rRNA from 1 species
GCCGGCAGCUAGCGCUCUGCAAAUCGCACAUGGUUGCCCACUGAAGCUAAGCAGGGCUGCCCCCGGUCAGUACCUGGAUGGGAGACCACAUGAAAAAGCUAGGUUGCUGCUGUAA